rnacentral:rRNA from 1 species
GCAACCCUUGUCCUUAGUUACCAGCACGUUAUGGUGGGCACUCUAAGGAGACUGCCGGUGACAAACCGGAGGAAGGUGGGGAUGACGUCAAGUCAUCAUGGCCCUUACGGCCUGGGCUACACACGUGCUACAAUGGCCGGUACAAAGGGCAGCUACCUGGUGACAGGAUGCUAAUCUCAAAAGCCGGUACUCAGUUCGGAUCGGAGUCUGGCAACCCGACUCCGUGAACGCUGGAAUCGCUAGUAAUCGCGCAUCAGCCAUGGCGCGGUGAAUACGUUCCCGGGCCUU